UUCCUGUGUAUUCUUGGGAUGCUGGGUUC
rnacentral:piRNA from 1 species